rnacentral:lncRNA from 1 species
CCAGGAGUCACAGAGCUUCCACCCAAAGGGAUUUCAAGCAGCUGUGAAAUUUACCUCAGGGAGUUUUUGGUCAGCAGGAAGGUCUUUUGACUGAGACGACUGCUAUUCAGAUAUUUCCUUCAAUAGACAAAGAUGCUGUAACAAAGAAUAUCCCCAGAGCCUGGCCCCUUUGUGAAUGGGAGACAUUUGACAGCCACAAAAGCCAAACAGCACUAGCUCUCACUCGUAUUGAGGUAACCCAGGAGUCAACCCAAAGAAGCUACAAGGCUGGUCCUUCCUAAGAGAGAG